rnacentral:rRNA from 1 species
UUUCUCCUCUGCACCACCAUCAAUGUGCCCAGCCUUGUCUGGUUUUGGAAGCUAAGCAAGGUCAGGUCUGGUUAGUAUUGGGAUGGGAGACCAAUAGGCAAUACCAGGUAUUGGGAUUU